UACAGGGGGUGCAAACGUUGCUCGGAAUUAUUGGGCGUAAAGCGCACGUAGGCGGCUUAGCAAGUCGGAUGUGAAAUCCCUCGGCUCAACCAAGGAAGUGCAUCCGAAACUGCUGAGCUUGAGUACGAAAGAGGAUCGCGGAAUUCCCGGUGUAGAGGUGAAAUUCGUAGAUAUUCGGAAGAACACCAGUGGCGAAGGCGGCUCACUGGCCCGGUACUGACGCUGAGGUGCGAAAGCGUGGGGAGCAAACAGG
rnacentral:rRNA from 1 species